ensembl:misc_RNA 7SK 7SK RNA
GGAUGUGAGGGUGAUCUGGCUGCAACAUCUGUCACCCCAUUGAUCGCCAGGGUUGAUUCAGCUGAUGGCUGGCAAGGUGGUGUCCCCUUCCUCACCACUCCAUGUGUGUCCCUCCCAAAGCUGCAUGCUGGGUCAAAGAGGACGACCAUCCCUGAUGGAGUAGGAUGGGUCUUUGGUCAAGGGUAUAGGAGUAACAGGAGUAACUGCAUUCCCCUGCUAGAACCUCCAAACAAGCUCUCGAGAAAUGAAUCUCUUAACAAAUUCAGUGGCAUGUUUUUCAUCCAAUUAAUUCAUGUAUAGCAGGUCUUU